rnacentral:snoRNA from 1 species
GAUUCCUGUGAUGAUUUAGAUUACCGCCCCAGUCUGAAUAUCAAUGACUGAGUGGUAUUUUCUGAGAAUU